AAAAAAGGGUCGCAAGGCCCGUUUUUAAAACCUACCACCACCUAUCAUUUAUGGGUGAGACACUCUUGUCUAUGGAUGAGAUGGAGGAGGUAGGGCUUUUUAAAAUCCAAUUAUUAUAAAAUCGUCUAAUGACGAACCAAAAAAAAUUAUCA
rnacentral:misc_RNA from 1 species